GGGGUUGUGGCUCAGUGGUAGAGCACUCACCUAGCAUGUGUGAGGCACUGGGUUCAAUUCUCAUCACCA
rnacentral:tRNA from 1 species